GCCGCGAUAGCUCAGUUGGGAGAGCGUUAGACUGAAGAUCUAAAGGUCCCUGGUUCAAUCCCGGGUCGCGGCA
rfam:Branchiostoma floridae genomic scaffold BRAFLscaffold_129, whole genome shotgun sequence.